GGCGCAGCUCUUGCUAAGUAAACAUCACAGGUAGCCAACGGCGGUUGCCCCUCCACGACAAAGACGUCGC
rfam:Spinacia oleracea cultivar SynViroflay scaffold86733.con0003.1, whole genome shotgun sequence.